GAUUUCGAAGAUGGCGCUUUAAUUAAUUAAAUGGGAAAUCUCUGAUGCAUCAUUGUCAGAGAUUUCUCAUUUAAAAUCACGUGCAGUGAAAACAAUCGGCUGAUGUGCCUGCUAAGACCAGAUUCACAAUGGACAGCGAUCACAACCGUGACUACAGCCAGCGACGGUUGCUAUGGAAACAAUCCCAUCAGGCCUCGCUUCACGACUCGUCGCUGAGACUAAAGACAGUAUUCAACCUACUGAAUAUUAUCGCGGUCGCGGGUAACGUCAUUGCGAUAGCCAAUAGAAAGGAAAUAUUUGGUUACGUAUGUACAGUUCGUUUCCAAAAUUUGUCACCUAAGCGGAAGAUGUUCGGCUUCCUUACUAUACUUACAAACCAAUGAGAUUAAUCAGUACAGGCGCAAGUUCGAGUUUGUGGAGCUUUGGAC
rnacentral:lncRNA from 1 species